AGCUAUUCCGCUUUCCUCUUUCCUUGAUUUCUCUUCGUAAAAGGCAUAUCAAGCUUUGGAAUGGAAAAUCCUCUAUGCUUCAUCACCUUCUCUGUCACCCUCUUCAUAAGUGGGCUAACAUUAGCCGUAGACCCACCAUGCCGGACCACAUGUGGUUCCCUACAGGUUAAGUAUCCUUUCGGCACCGCCUACGGCUGUGGCUCACCCCGGUUCUAUCCCUACAUAACCUGCGCAUCCAGCGGAGAUCAGCUUCAACUUACCACCCACACAGGCUCUUAUCCUGUCACCUCCAUAUCCUACACCGCCUCCACCAUAACCAUCACUCCUCCUUCCAUGUCCACAUGCACCACCAUGCACCAGUCAGCCAACUUCGGCCUAGACUGGGCUAGCCCAUUCCAGCUUGGCCCAUCAACUUUCAUCCUCCUCUCAUGUCCACCACCAACCUCUUCCCUCACCAUGAAAGGAUCACCAGUCUGUGAAACUUCCUCUUCCUACCUCUGUGCCUCGAUAUACACAUGUCCGGCAGUAAUUGGACUUGGGUUGCCGCUUUUUCCACCUACAAAUACAUGCUGUGUGUAUGCUCCGGCGAACUUCAACGGCAAAAGUGAACUUGAUCUCCACUUGAUGAAGUGCUUGGGGUAUGCAUCAGUGGCAUCUCUUGACGAUUACCCGACAGACCCGAGCCGUUGGGAGUAUGGGGUGGUGCUGAACUAUAGAAGUGGAGCUUUUGAUGAUUUUGACGUGGAUAAUAAGUGUAACACAUGUGAGAGUAGUGGCGGCGUAUGUGGUUAUGCUUCGCCAGGAAACUCCUUCGUGUGCUUAUGCAGCAGCGGAAUAAACACCACUACGGACUGCAAUGGCUACAGCCAGUAUCUGGGAUUCACUUGGAGCUCCAUUUCUGCCAGACUAUCAUGCACGAUUUGGUUGGGGAUUUUAGCUGGUCUAAUUUUCAUUUGAGCAACUUGAUAUAUAUAUAUAUAGGGAACUUAAUUUAUUGUUAGAUGAUGCUUGGAUUUCCUCUCUGUGGGAUUGGUGUGAUCUUUUUCUAAGAAAUGACCCUUUGUAAUGGUAAGUGAAAGUUGUAAGGCAUUAAAGUUAGGUCACAUUUGGUGGAGCUCAAAAGAAGGAAUAAAGGUGGAAAGGGACGAGCAUAUAUGCACUAGGAAGGUUAGUGUAAUACUUAUAGACUAUAAAGUAAGAGUAAUUUCUAUUUUAGGUUUAUUUGAUUUUGAUUGGAAACGGAAUUUGAGACUAGCACCCUGGUAAUUACUCCCUCUUUCGACCAUUUUUAUCCAUUUUUAUUUGUUGUAUUUAAAAUUUUCUUUCAUAUAAAAUUAUCUGUCACGUUUAGAAAA
rnacentral:misc_RNA from 1 species